rnacentral:rRNA from 1 species
UACGUAGGGAGCAAGCGUUGUCCGGAAUCAUUGGGCGUAAAGCGCGCGUAGGCGGCCCUGUAAGUCCGUUGUGAAAGUCAAAGGCUCAACCUUUGAAAGCCGAUGGAUACUGCAGGGCUAGAGUUCGGAAGAGGCGAGUGGAAUUCCUGGUGUAGCGGUGGAAUGCGCAGAUAUCAGGAGGAACACCAAUAGCGAAGGCAGCUCGCUGGGACGAUACUGACGCUGAGGACGAAAGCGUGGGUAGCGAACAGG